rnacentral:rRNA from 1 species
AGAGUUUGAUCAUGGCUCAGAGCGAACGCUGGCGGCAGGCCUAAAACAUGCAAGUCGAACGCCGUAGCAAUACGGAGUGGCAGACGGGUGAGUAACACGUGGGAACGUGCCCUUUGGUUCGGAACAACACAGGGAAACUUGUGCUAAUACCGAAUAAGCCCUUACGGGGAAAGAUUUAUCGCCAAAGGAUCGGCCCGCGUCUGAUUAGCUAGUUGGUGGGGUAACGGCCCACCAAGGCUACGAUCAGUAGCUGGUCUGAGAGGAUGAUCAGCCACACUGGGACUGAGACACGGCCCAGACUCCUACGGGAGGCAGCAGUUAGGAAUCUUGGACAAUGGGCGCAAGCCUGAUCCAGCCAUGCCGCGUGAGUGAUGAAGGCCUUAGGGUUGUAAAGCUCUUUCAGCGGGGAAGAUAAUGACGGUACCCGCAGAAGAAGCCCCGGCUAACUUCGUGCCAGCAGCCGCGGUAAUACA